rnacentral:lncRNA from 1 species
CUCGCUGACCUCGCCCCCCAGCUGCGUUUCCGAGGGAACGGCUGUCUGUCUGGCUGGAAAGAAGCGGAUGAGUGGACAGAUUAACAGAGCGUGUGAAAGCACCGUGACAAAAAUGAAAUUCCAGCACCAAGGGAGGGACUCAGAGCCCAGGGGAUCGAGUCACUGGGUUAAACAGAAGAGGCGCCUGCAGGUCCUUGACGUUCUUCCAGAAGAACAACUCGAAACAAGGAAAUAGAGGGUCUGUGCCCACGUCAGCGGAGGCAGCAAGGGACCCUUGUGAUGACACUGGGCCGGCCCAGGUAAUCCAGGACGAUCUCCGUCUCGAGAUCCUUGGCUGAGUCACACCCGCAAAGCCCCUUUCCCACGUCACGUUCGCAGGUGGCGGGGUCAGAGCGUGGACAUCUCUGGGAGCCACUGUUCAGCCUUUACGUCAAAUAAACAAGGUGGGGAGGUGGCGAAAGUUCCGGGUUGGGAAGGAACGUCACAGACCAGCUGUGUGGCUCCAGCCGUCUCCUGGCCUCCCUGGGCCUGGUACACACGGGCCUGCUCUCUGCCGGGCGACAGCUCCAGCUGUGGUGUGUGCAGCAUCCAUUCUCUUUUCACUGGUCACAGCUCCUCUGUUCUCCGGGGGAACAGUCCGUCUCUGGCUCUCAGUCCAGGUGCUGCACGUGGAUGUGAACAUCCUCUCCUCUCCAGUCAAGGAUGAGCAAGGGGCGAGCCUGGCCCAUCAGCGUGGGUCAUGACCUUGGCGGGGCCAGUGGUGAGAGCUUUACCUGGAAAUUGGGCCAGGCUCUCUUUCUUCGAGGUGGCGAAGCCAGCAGAAUGAAACCUGGAGCUGCUGGUGGUCGUCCUGCCUCCAGAUAGGAAGACCUUGCUUGAGAGUAGAUCUAUAGAGAAGAAAACAGACUAAGAAGCAGAGGAAGGCCAAUUCCUAUUGACCUUGAGCACCUGGGUCCAGCUGUACCUGAAGCUGGACAGGCCCUGAAAUUUUCAGAUACUGAGAUGAUAAAUCCCCCUUUUGGCUUCAGCCAGCUUGAAUUGAGUUUGUAAUUCUUGCUACUAAGAGUCCUGACUGGUGCUCCCUUCUUCAAUUUGGGCCACUCAGCCCAAUAUCGCAGAAUUAACAUGCCAUUUUGCAUGUAGGCACCAACCUCAUGGGGGCCUCGCUUGCCUGCCUUCCUCUCCCUCCUCUUCCCCUGCCAGCUAUGCUGUUGGGUGAUACAUCGUAAUGUAUAUUUAACAGUGGCUCAAAAUCGAAUUAAUUUAGAUCGGUUAAUAAACUGACAUCCGUUUCU